rnacentral:rRNA from 1 species
UACGUAGGGGGCGAGCGUUGUCCGGAAUCACUGGGCGUAAAGGGCGCGUAGGCGGCCCGGGGCAUCCGGCGUGAAAUCUCCCCGCUCAACGGGGAGGGGUCGGCGGAGAUGGCCGGGCUGGAGGGCGGUAGAGGCGGAUGGAAGUCCCGAAGUAGUGGUGAAAUGCGUAGAGAUCGGGAGGAACACCAGAGGCGAAGGCGAUCCGCUGGGCCGGCCCUGACGCUGAGGCGCGACAGCCAGGGGAGCGAACGG